rnacentral:misc_RNA from 1 species
GAUGAAGAACGUAGCGAAAUGCGAUACGUAAUGUGAAUUGCAGAAUUCAGUGAAUCAUCGAAUCUUUGAACGCAUAUUGCGCUCUCUGGUAUUCCGGAGAGCAUGCUUGUUUGAGUAUCAGUAAACACCUCAACUCCCUUUUCUUUUUUGAAAUUGGAGCUGGACUUGAGUGAUCCCAACGCUUUCUUCCAAGAAAGUGGCGGGUUGCUUGAAAUGCAGGUGCAGCUGAACUUUCCUCUGAGCUAUAAGCAUAUCUAUUUAGUCUGCCUAAAAAACAGAUUAUUACCUUUGCUGCAGCUAACAUAAAGGAGACUAGUUCUUGUGCUGACUGAUGCAGGAUUCACAGAGACAGCUUCGGCUGACUUUGUAAACUCGAUCUCAAAUCAAGUAAGACUACCCGCUGAACUUAAGCAUAUCAAUAAGCGGAGGA